CACGUAGUUAGCCGUGGCUUUCUUGAAGAGUACCGUCAAGUAAGACUCAUUUCCUAAUCUUACAAUUCUUUCUCAACAACAGGGUUUUACAACCCAUAGGGCCUUCAUCACUCACGCGGCAUUGCUCGUUCAGGGUUUCCCCCAUUGACGAAUAUUCCUAACUGCUGUCUCCCGUAGGAGUCUGGGCCGUGUCUCAGUCCCAGUGUGGCCGAUUAACCUCUCAGUUCGGCUACGCAUCGUCGUCUUGGUAGGCCGUUACCCACCAACUAACAAUACGCCGCAGGCCCAUCUCUAAGCGAAGCUUUAAAGGCUUACUUUACUCCAUAGACGCACAUUCGGUAUUAUCAACCGUUUCAGUUGUAUCCCCAAUUAGAGGUAGUAACCCAGUUGUUACUCACCGUUU
rnacentral:rRNA from 1 species